GCUGCUGUUGCUGGGAGUGGGAAAGAGGUGGCAUCGGCGGUUCAAGACUGAGUUUUCUAUCUCUUCAGUGCCUCUUUCAACAAUGAAGAUCAAACCAGGUUUUGUGCAAAUAUCUGCUGAGUGAACUACUUAUUUGAAAAUACAUCAUUGGUUAAUAUUCCCUUUUGCUCAUUGAAAUCUCAAAGACUACAGACCCCGCACAAGACAUUCUGACAUUCCCGUCUUUGAAAUGAAUGACAGCAAUGAUAAAUAUGGCUCACCUCCAGAGAUACAGAUCUCACAACUUCAUAUUUUUAAUAUAAAUUAUUAAUCUGAGGUGUGGUGCAAUUCCAUUAGAUGAAAGAGAUCUACACAUUCAGAAGCACAUGAUUCUUCCCCCUUCCAUGAUUCCAGUGGCCAAUAGGACAGAAUGACAUUAAGGUAAUUGUGUAUUUAUAAAACAGAAUGGGGGAAAGCAGAACAAGAUGGCCAAAUAGAAUCUUCCAGUAAUCAUUCUCCCUGCAAGAACACCAAAAUGAGUAACUAUCCACAUAAGAAAACAUCUCCACAACAACCAAAAAUCAGGGAAGCACUCACAGUACCUGGAUUUAACAUCAUAUCAAGGAAAGAGACACUGAAGGGGAUAGACAAGACAAGCUUGAAUUGCCUUCACCACCACUUCCCAUGCCCCAGCAGAGGUGCAGAGAGAGAAUCUGUGUGCUUGAGGGAGGGAGAUUGCAGUUAUUGUGGAACUUUGCAUAGGAAAUCAGUGCUGCUUGUCACAGCAGAAAGCAUCAUAGGGCAGAAUUUAUCUGGCACCCAUGGAGGGAGCAUUUAUACCAGCCCUAGCCCCAGGGGAACCAUCCAUUCUAGUGGUCAAAACCCAAGUUCCAGCUGGCCACAUGACCAUGAGCUAAAGUGCACUGGGGUCUUAAAUUUGAAAGUCAGUCUAAGCCAAAAGUACUACAAUUCCUUGACAAAUCCUUGUGCUGUGCUGUGCUUGGAACCGGUGGACUUGGGUUACACACAACAUAGUGAGACACCAGCUGGAGCGACCAAAGGAGUGCCUGCAUCACCCCUCCCUGAACCCUAGGGUAGUACAGCUCACAGUUCUGGGAAAGACUUCUUCCUUUCUCUUUCACUUUCUCUUGAGUAGAGAAAAGGAGAGAAUAAAAAGGGCUUUAUUUUGCAACUUGGAAA
ensembl:lncRNA LINC01192 long intergenic non-protein coding RNA 1192